GUGGAAUGAACUUCACCCUUGCUUGGGAAUCAACAUGGGAAAUACAAUAGGGUGCAUUUGAGAAACAGUAUCCCCGAUGUCUACGAAAGGCCAGGCAGGUGCCAAUCACUUUGAUUCGAUUCUCCUAACAACCCUGUCCACAAACUCAGUUUACAGCUGACACAACGCAGGCAGAGAGACGGAAUGAUUUGUCUGAGGUCAUACGGAAUGAUUAGUGCUGCAGAACCGUGAUUUAGACCCAGACCUCCCAGACUGCAAAAUGUAAGGACUUCCCACUAGCAGUAAUCCUCACAGGUCUAAAAUAUCUACUACAUCUGUCACAUAUGUACCACACAAGUGUGCUUUUGAUGAGACUACCAUAUAUUCCUGUAUUUCAUAGAGCAUAACUCAGAGGGAAAGAAGAACCUUGCAAUAUUUCAAGAUUAUUGUAAUAUGUUCAUAUUUAAUGAAGUAUGCAUAAUAUUUAUGUAGUAUUUUAACUCGAAGAGUUUUGUACCUCAGUCUUAUCAUCGUCCGGCUUAUUUACUCUCCCCCACCUCUGUGUGGCCCCAUUGAUGUGGUGAGUCUCUGCUGGCCAUUGGUUGGGUCUGUUGUUAGUAGUCCCAGGUAUGGGUUGGCAGAGCGGGAGCCUCACAUCCUGUUCCCCCAUGACCUGUGUCGUGUUCUACUCCCAUGGUAAGCUCCCGUGUCUCCAUGACAGGCUGGCCGAGAGAAGCUACUUGCAGACGGCCACGGCCAGCACUCAGAAGUGGAGAACAUUGUUUUGGAGUCAAAGAGACGGGCCCCAGAGGCAGGCAGGAAGAGUAUCAGACUUAGCAACAUUGCCAGCUUCCACAAACCAGCUGAUGACCCAUGUGAGCCCAGAAUGGAAAAGACUGUCACAUGUUGGGUGCCUGGCCUGGACCUCACAUCAGGUGUGAGGCAAAGACAAUCCAAGUCUCCAUGAGAAGAAAGAACAUAAGUCUGAGUUCCUGACUGAGGAGAGGCAAAAGUUUCCGGGGACUGCAACAUGGAUGAACCUUGAAAACAUUACACUAAGUGAAAGAAGGCAAUCACAAAGAUCACAUACUGGAUGAUAACAUUCAUAUGGAGUAUCUGGAACAGGCAAAUCUAUACAGACAGAAAGUGGUUCAUUGGUUGCCCAGGGCUGGGAGGCCUAGGGGGACUGGAGUGUGACCACUAAUGGGUAUGGAGUUUCUUUUUGCGGUGAUACGCAUAUUCCAGUGUUGAUUCUGGUGAGGGUUUUGUAACUCUGUGAACAUACUAAAAACCAUCGAGUUGCAUACUUCGAGUGGGUGAAUUGUAAAGUAUUGGAAUUACAUCUCAAUAAAGAUUAUCUGUUAAAAAUAAGUUUCUGAUGU
rnacentral:lncRNA from 1 species